rnacentral:lncRNA from 1 species
GUCUGACAAGAGUGUUAAUACAAGGGAAAAAGUAGAGCUCAGAAAUGGACAGAAAAUAAAUCGAUGCAAUCAUGUGCACUAGAUUCGUGCUGCAUACAAAAAAGAUCACAGGAAACAUUUAUCUCCAACAUUAAGCCACUUGGAGGAGAGAUUAAAUCUGUGAAGAAAGCCUGCUGAAUGACUAAAGUGUCUCAGGGCAGAACAGAUGAACUCCAGGUGCAGCUCCCAGGCUCAGGGAAUAAGGUAAUCAGAGUUAUCC